AUGAUGGGAUCUGAAGGACAAAGGAGAUGGACUUCAAGAUGCAGGAGGCUAGAGGUGGUGGCAAGGCUAAAUCAACUGUCAUUAACACUGCCUGUGACCCACAGACAAGCAAGACGGGGGAAAGCCAUCUCCAAAUUCCAAGUAGCGUGGAACCCUAUCUCAGCUGCUGAGCUCACAGCCAAAGCCAAGGAAUCAUCUUUGUGCAACGUCCCUCUCUCUGUGAUUUCUCUAUCUCUCAGGUCACUCACUCUGGGCAAAAUCCUGCUUCCGUGUCCUGGGAAACCAUAUGGAGAAGCCCAUGUGAGGAGCUGAAGCCUCCGGCCCUCAGCCAGUGAUGCAUUCAGGCCUGCCAAUCAUGACCUGAGAGAGCUUGGGAGUGGAUCCUCCAGCCUCGGUUAAGCCUUCAGAUGACUGGAGCCCUGGCCGACUCCUUGACUGAAACCCCAUGAGGGUUCCUGAGCCAGAACCACCCAACUAAGUCACAUACAGAUUCCUGAUCCUCAGGAACGAUUAGAUAAUAAAUCUUGGUUGUUUUAAGCUGCUAAGUUUGGG
rnacentral:lncRNA from 13 species